AGCUGCGGGAAAGGACCUGGAAAGGGUGGAGCAUGUCUCACCCCCACUUCAUCUAUAUGCAUUCACAUGGCUGUAAGACAUAAUUGAGCAAUUCUAAUCAUGCAUUGAAGAAUAAAAUUCAAGCAUCGAUUAGAAUCGCAUGCAGAAAAUAGGACAUAAGAUAAAUUUGACCUCCAACCAUUGUUCGAAUCAUCUCUCUAGGAAAAAGUUCGAAAAUGCUAAGAAAUUGCACGAGGCACGUUAAUUUUGAAUGCCUAAAUAAUUUUCAAAAGGUAGGAAAUAAAAAUAGCACCGAAGAAUAGGAGCUCAAUUUUGGGUCCUAAAAAACGAAGUCUCAAAGGAGCGAUAGACAUGAUUUCUAAUCAAUGGUGUUUACGAGUACUAAUUAAUGUUUCAAAGCUUUAGAAAAAAUCAUUCCUAAAAUAUUUCCCAAUAAUGUCACGUGUUGCACCGGUUAUUGGCCUAAUGUAAGCUAAUCACAAGCCUUAUCAUAUGCGCGCACGCACGCACAAAACAAAAAUGGGUAGAGGUAUAAGGAGUCCUUAAACUAGCAAAAUGUCCAAAUAGACACACACACAUGUACAUAUAUAUUGUAUAAAAUGGAUCCCUAAAACUAUAUACUCGUUUUCUUAGAAUUGGUUCUUCUGUUAAAAUUACAAAUGGAGAUGCUGAUGGCAUUUUAUGUGUCAGAAAAUUUUUCGUACAUAUACUAAUUUAAGAUUUUUUAUGGUAAAAAAAUUAAUUUAGGAUAAAUUUGUUACAAAUGUAUUAAUUUGGAGUUUUUUGUGAUAUUAACCCAAUAAAAUAAGAAAAAUCAAACAGAAAUUCAUUUUGGAGAAGCGGAUGCACCUCCAUCUAAAAGAAGUUUUGUAUUGCACUCUUGCUUAAAGAUCAAUUCUCUUGGUGUUGUAGACGAUUGCAGUCUUGGCUCGCUUUGGUCCUGUCCAAUCGCACAUGAAGCUCCUGGAGAAGCGGGAGAUUGUCCUCUUCGAUCUUCUUCAAUAGGUUAUCCACAAGCACGUACCUCUCCAAGUCCCCGAGCUUUGCGAUGUCCACCACCUCACAGUCCAGUACAGACGCCCUCUCCGAUCUUCUUCAACAUACAGGUGGAAGCAAUGAGGGUCACCAACCUUCGCCUCAGCUUUGAGCGAGGGCCGCCCCUCGCUAAAGAUACGAACAAAUGCCAAAAAGGUAUGCCGAUUAGGAACCCGGUCGCACAGGAAA
rnacentral:lncRNA from 1 species